AAUUCCGAGACAGGUGCUGCAUGGCUGUCGUCAGCUCGUGCGUGAGGUGUUGGGUUAAGUCCCGCAACGAGCGCAACCCCUAUUGCCAGUUGCUACCAGGUAAUGCUGGGCACUCUGGUGAGACUGCCCCGGUUAACGGGGAGGAAGGUGGGGACGACGUCAAGUCAUCAUGGCCCUUACGCCUAGGGCUACACACGUACUACAAUGGCGCAUACAAAGGGCAGCGAUACCGCGAGGUGGAGCCAAUCCCAAAAAGUGCGUCCCAGUCCGGAUUGCAGUCUGCAACUCGACUGCAUGAAGUUGGAAUCGCUAGUAAUUCGAGAUCAGCAUGCUCGGGUGAAUGCGUUCCCGGGCCUU
rnacentral:rRNA from 1 species